UUGCUCCCUGAUGUUAGCGGCGGACGGGUGAGUAACACGUGGGUAACCUGCCUGUAAGACUGGGAUAACUCCGGGAAACCGGGGCUAAUACCGGAUGGUUGUUUGAACCGCAUGGUUCAGACAUAAAAGGUGGCUUCGGCUACCACUUACAGAUGGACCCGCGGCGCAUUAGCUAGUUGGUGAGGUAACGGCUCACCAAGGCGACGAUGCGUAGCCGACCUGAGAGGGUGAUCGGCCACACUGGGACUGAGACACGGCCCAGACUCCUACGGGAGGCAGCAGUAGGGAAUCUUCCGCAAUGGACGAAAGUCUGACGGAGCAACGCCGCGUGAGUGAUGAAGGUUUUCGGAUCGUAAAGCUCUGUUGUUAGGGAAGAACAAGUGCCGUUCAAAUAGGGCGGCACCUUGACGGUACCUAACCAGAAAGCCACGGCUAACUACGUGCCAGCAGCCGCGGUAAUACGUAGGUGGCAAGCGUUGUCCGGAAUUAUUGGGCGUAAAGGGCUCGCAGGCGGUUUCUUAAGUCUGAUGUGAAAGCCCCCGGCUCAACCGGGGAGGGUCAUUGGAAACUGGGGAACUUGAGUGCAGAAGAGGAGAGUGGAAUUCCACGUGUAGCGGUGAAAUGCGUAGAGAUGUGGAGGAACACCAGUGGCGAAGGCGACUCUCUGGUCUGUAACUGACGCUGAGGAGCGAAAGCGUGGGGAGCGAACAGGAUUAGAUACCCUGGUAGUCCACGCCGUAAACGAUGAGUGCUAAGUGUUAGGGGGUUUCCGCCCCUUAGUGCUGCAGCUAACGCAUUAAGCACUCCGCCUGGGGAGUACGGUCGCAAGA
rnacentral:rRNA from 1 species